rnacentral:lncRNA from 1 species
UUCUGCACGGGCUUCUGGGCAGGCAGCACUAACACUCAGGAGAAGGUCUGCCUCUGUCUGCGCCUUCCUGGUUCAAUGCAGGCAGAUGAGUGUCACAGAUGUAACUGAGGCAUUGAAUAAUCAACAUAUCGGAGCCAAUUCCCAGGACGGCAAGAGGGGGAACCGGCAGAGAUGACUGACCGUGGAGGACAAGAGCAUUCUUCUGACAAGUUUUAGCAUGGACUAUCCUCAGGAAAAUGAGAUCCAGGAAGAGUGACGCCCUCCUCGAACUGAAAGAUACUCAGGCUGAUGGAGUCAGGGACGAAGUGGUUUAUCAACAACACAGGAUGUCUGCAGGGAACAGAACUUAUUCAGACAUGGCCCAGAUUGUCUGCCCGUGGGGACUGAGGGACCUCUGAGGGUUACAUCAGGAAGGAGAGGCUGUUUCUACAGGUGCCACAGAAAAAUCGAUGCUGAGCCUCGGAUUAUUGGAUCCCAUAGAACCGUGGAGACUUGGCAGUGAAAUUCUUCCAAAGCAUUCCAUCUGCGCAGGCAGAGGUGUUCCUGGUUUAGGAAGUAUAAAUCCCGUGGGAAGUCAACUGGAGGACAUUUUACGCGUCACUCAUCCUAUUAUGAGCCUGCUGCUCCUCCGUCUCUUGACAAGGCCACCAACUAGAAGGGCACAGAAUUAUUCAUAAAACAGCUGAAUGUGAACGUCUUUGGAUUCCCAUUUAAUGAGUUGGCAGCUAAAGGACAGGAGCAGCAAUAAGGCUUCCUGGCUACAUUUUCAUGAUGCCACCAACUGCGAG